AAAGCACAAGGAAACAGCAGAGCCACAUUCAAAGAGCAGGUACAUCACUCUGAGAAGCCCUUAGAAUGGAGACCCCUCCAGUGAAGGUAAUAGGGAGAGAAUAAAGAAUAAAAUGUCACCUGGAAGCAAAGAGAGGGCAAACAUGUGAAGACUCUGCCAUUCAUAACACCUUAAGUCCAAUUUCACGCUAGCCCUAAAGGGAGGAUAGGAAACAGGAAAAGGAAGAUCGAGGAACAAGAAGUGGUCAGAAAUGAGUCUGGUUGCAGAGGAUCUGGUGGAGGACUCCAUGACCCCAGAAGAUGCUGGAGCCGUUAGAUGAGAGAAGCCUUGAUCUGUGAAAGACUGCAUGGGUCAACCUCCAUUGGACUGUGAUAUGACCUCCAUUACACACAUACAUUUAUUGUAGUGGAAUGAAGAUCGGAGGAGCAAUAUUUGAAGUUUUGUCAAAUACUGUAGGGAGAGAAAUGGGCUCCUUUGUCCCCUGAGUGACUGACUGGACUGCCCUGCGGAAGCGGCUGAGCAAGCUGAUAUCCAACCACGGUGGAAGAAUAUCUUGGCUCCUGACACAAAGAAGAGGAUGCAGAUCUGUGUGGUUGGAAUAACUAGGAUUGAAUUCUGAGGUGACGCUUGAUAAAAUGCUUAGCACAUAGUUAGCCCUCGAUAAAUAUUAGCUUAUUGUUAACUCCUCUUAAUGACUGUUGGCUUUCCAGAGCCUAACUAUGAGAAAGAUUGUAAAACUACUUCUAAACUCAGAGGGAAAAAAAAUUCCAUGAUCAAUUAGCCAUGUCACUUUGAGUGCAAGAUAGGGAAAUGGAACUUCUUGUCCUGGAUCUGGAAUCUAUUGCCUUAACCUUAAGCAAGCUUGAAAUAACUUACUGAGUUAGUGAAACUCACAAAGAGAUUGAACAGAAGUGAACUUUGGAUGAAGUUUAAUGUCGGUAGAGUGUCCAAAUGUUAUUUACUAUCAACAGCUGCACUAUGCAAUACAGGAGCCUCUAGCUACAUGUGGCAGUUUAAGUUUAAAUGAAUUAAACUUAAGUGAAAUUUAAAAUACAGUUCCUCACAUUUCAAGGGCUCAAUAGUCACGUGUACAUGUUGGUUACCAUGUCAGACAGCAUAGACCUGGAACACUCUCAUCCUCUCAGAAAGUUCCACUGGACAGAGCUGCUCUCUAGGAUGCCUGAGAAAAUUAUGCUAAUGCAUAAACUACAUAAACUUAUAUGUAGCCCACAGUACUACAAAUUUGUUUGGUUAGUGUGCUCACUUUUUUAAUCCUUGAGGAACAACGGCUUGAGUGGUCCCUGUGCUGACCAGUUGAUAUUCAAAGCAGACUGGUUUUACUUACUAGGGGAUAGAACACAGAAGAAUGAAAAUCAAAAGAUUAAAUCUCUUCUCUUCUUGUAAGCAAUAAAAAGUAGUCACCUUAGGGUUUUUGAGGCUAAGUAGGUGUUUAGAGUUUGAGGGCUAGUCAUAGCCACAUGAGCAACAUGUCUAUUAAAUAAUAAUACCACUUUAAUAAGUCAUCCAAAAUGUUCUACAAUCAGAUAAUCGUACUGUGGAGGGAUUUUUCUAAAGAUUGAAUAUUCUCUCAUUUACUUCAAGGUGAACUAACUGGAACCAUUAACCACCUUUUCUGUCUAUAAUGUGUAUGUAAAUGAAUGAAGCUGAUAAUUAUUUGUUGAUAUAUGUGCCUAACUAUAUAAAAAUACUGAGAAUUUUUAAAAAAUAAACUGUAACUAUAU